rnacentral:rRNA from 1 species
AGCAGUAGGGAAUAUUGGGCAAUGGGCGAGAGCCUGACCCAGCCAUGCCGCGUGCAGGAAGAAGGCUUUCUGAGUCGUAAACUGCUUUUGACAGGGAAGAAUAAGGUGUACGUGUACACUGAUGACGGUACCUGCAGAAUAAGCACCGGCUAACUCCGUGCCAGCAGCCGCGGUAAUACGGAGGGUGCGAGCGUUGUCCGGAUUUAUUGGGUUUAAAGGGUGCGUAGGCGGCUUUUUAAGUCUGGGGUGAAAGCCCGCUGCUCAACAGCGGAACUGCCCUGGAUACUGGAGAGCUUGAGUACAGACGAGGUUGGCGGAAUGGACGGAGUAGCGGUGAAAUGCAUAGAUACCGUCCAGAACCCCGAUUGCGAAGGCAGCUGACUAGGCUGUUACUGACGCUGAGG